rnacentral:miRNA from 1 species
UUUGUGUGUGUGUGUGUGUGUGUGUGUGGGCGCGCGCCCACACACACACACACACACACACACACAUG